rnacentral:lncRNA from 1 species
GCCCGUCAGGGACACGAUGAUGAACUCAAAGGGUUCGUCUGGCUCUUCAGCCGCCGUGCUGGGGCCGUCCGGCCGCGUCGUCCCCGUGCUCUUUUUCCUGCGGUGCUUCUUCCUGUUGGCAUGUGGCGACGGGGGCGGCUCCAGCUUGGGGCUGGCGGCGGUGGAGAUGUUGGGGCUGGAGCUGAGGGAAUCGGCAGUGCCGUUGGCGGGGUUGGGGCAGGCGCCGGGCAGCGCCAUGGCCUCGCUCCACUGAUCGGCGCUGGAGACAGAGUAGGAGCGCUGGUGCAUGCCGUCGGGCUUGGAGCUGAAGCCCACCAGGUUGAUGCCGCUGACGGAGCGCUCCGAGUGCAGGGAGGUGCUGCUGCUGGAAUGUGGGGCGCCU